UAAAUUUAAACCGGGUUUUGGAGGAUUUUGGCGGAUUUAAACCAUGGCUCAAAUUCAUUAAAUUCCAUCUCUGGUUUACUACCUACUGCCAGUUUAAAUUUGAGAGACCACUGUAAAGUUAAAGAUUCAGGAAGAAUUAUGAAUCAGGGAUUUGAAUUUGAAAUUAAAUUUCUCUGAUGGUGGUGUGCUUUAAGAAAAAGCAACAUGGAAGGGUUAGAAUAAUAAUUUAGAAGACAUUAAACUUUCAGAUAUAUGAUAUGACAUUUUACUCUUUGCCAAGGCCUACCAAGUGGAUGCGAUAUGCCUUAGUUUCUGUAGUUUUGGUUUUCUACCUAAUCAUAGAGACUCCUGGUGAUUUGUUAUCUGAAGAUGCUUCUGCUCCUGGUGCAAGAUCUUUACCAGCUAAACCGAGGGUCUGGGUAUCCAUGGGUAUUUGCUGGGGUCAAAAUGCUCAAGUUCAUGGGAAAAAAGAAUUUCCUUACAAAGAAGCGGCUCUCAGGUCUGUGUCUUUGUGGUCCAAGCUAACAGAAGCUCAGCCUAUACUUCAGAUCUCCUAUACAGAAUCCAUAUCCUCAGAACUUCUGGAUUACAAAAAAAGUCUAGAGAUGAAUGGAGCUUUCGUUUACUUCAACAAAACAUAUGAUAUACCAUGUGUACUCUCCUCCCAACUUACUAGGAUGUUAGCAUACAAGCUUGAUGUUGUAUCACCUAAUGAUGUCAUAAUAACUGCUGAUGUUGAUGCAUUUGUUGGAACGCCUCAUAUACUGGAUCCCCUAAACCAGAAUUGAAGGAAAUUCCGAGGAUAUCAUUAACACAGACCAAUUCUUACAUAUCUAGAAUUCGCCACUCCGACCCUGAAAAUGAAAUCCCUACAGCAGAACCAGUAAGUGAACCACAUCUACACGCAAACCUACAUCCCGAAAAUCUAACCCUUGGUCAUAUUUAAAACUUUAAACUGAACAUCAACCAGGAUAUUUGCAAUGUGUCAAAAAUAGGACUGGUAACAAUUAUACACUCUGCAGUGGAAAACACAGAAGCUAGAAGAGUUAUCAGGAUAUUUUAUCAAAAUCAAGUUUAGAUACAAAAAAAUGGCCGACAUAUUGUGGAAGAAUCAAUAAAAUCAUGCCAGAGAAAUUAAUUCUUAACAAAAAUGAUUUUUGAGGAAUGAGGGGGUCUAAGUGUCCAAAAUUAUUUUACAAUUAUAUUUUUAUUUGUCUACAAUUUUCCACAAAUAAUGUACGAAAAUAAAAUUUGAAAAAAAAAACGAUUUUUGAAAA